AUACGUAUGGAGCAAGCGUUAUCCGGAUUUACUGGGUGUAAAGGGAGCGUAGACGGCAUAGCAAGUCUGAAGUGAAAUCCCAUGGCUUAACCAUGGAACUGCUUUGGAAACUGCCAGGCUAGAGUGCAGGAGAGGUAAGCGGAAUUCCUAGUGUAGCGGUGAAAUGCGUAGAUAUUAGGAGGAACACCAGUGGCGAAGGCGGCUUACUGGACUGUAACUGACUUUGAGGCUCGAAAGCGUGGGGAGCAAACAGGAUUAGAUACCCUGGUAGUCCACGCUGUAAACGAUGAUUACUAGGUGUUGGGGACCAAAGGUCCUCGGUGCCGCCGCAAACGCAUUAAGUAAUCCACCUGGGGAGUACGUUCGCAAGAAUGAAACUCAAAUGAAUUGACGG
rnacentral:rRNA from 1 species